rnacentral:rRNA from 1 species
GUGGGGAAUAUUGGACAAUGGGCGAAAGCCUGAUCCAGCCAUGCCGCGUGUGUGAAGAAGGUCUUCGGAUUGUAAAGCACUUUAAGUUGGGAGGAAGGGCAGUAAGUUAAUACCUUGCUGUUUUGACGUUACCGACAGAAUAAGCACCGGCUAACUUCGUGCCAGCAGCCGCGGUAAUACGAAGGGUGCAAGCGUUAAUCGGAAUUACUGGGCGUAAAGCGCGCGUAGGUGGUUUUGUAAGUUGGAGGUGAAAUCACCGGGCUCAACCUGGGAACUGCCUCCAAAACUGCAUGACUAGAGUACGGUAGAGGGUAGUGGAAGUUCCUGUGUAGCGGUGAAAUGCGUAGAUAUAGGAAGGAACACCAGUGGCGAAGGCGACUACCUGGACUGAUACUGACACUGAGGUGCGAAAGCGUGGGGAGCAAACAGGAUUAGAAACCCGAGUAGUCC